CUCGGCCGCGCUGUAACGAAAGCGGCGCCGGGGCCGGGUGAGAGCGGCCCCGCCUCGUCCCGCCCCGCCCCGGCCGCGCCGCCGCCAUUUCGGUUGUGGGCAACGCCCCCGGGCAGCCGCGGUGCCCGUUGCUGUCCCUGUCUGCGUGCCCCGGCUGCCUUGCCUGUAAGUGGCUCUGAAGCAUCUCAGCCAGGGCUCCCACAGCCGGGAUGGCCACGGGCUCGGCCCCGUUGGUGGCACACGUGCAGGGAGGAGAGACCCCAAAAAGGGACUCGGAUGUACUUCAGCAAUGACGCAAAGCUUCUUGCAGGACACGAGCAAACCUGGCCACAGCAGAGGCAGCAAGAUCAAGGUGAAUUCUUCAGGAGAAGCACUCACGAAGAGCUAAGGAAGAGUUUGUCCUGCCCUUCAGAGAGCAGAUGCACAAGGCAGAGCUCUGGCACGGGCUUGGAUUUCUGCAAGGAGAACUGAGCGAGGCACUGGCCUGGUUUCCAGGAAAGGAGAACAGUGUGUCACAGAGAAGGCAUUGAAAAGACCUGAGGCUUCUGCCUCAGCUUUCGCUCUUACUCCUGCAGACACGUGGGUGCUUGGGAGUUGAAAGGCUGAACUGGAGGCUGUCCUGCAGCUGGCAGAGGACAGGAAGCUGCGGGCUCCUCCUGCAGAGCUGCUGGAGCAGAGACCACAGAGGGUGUCCCUGUGUCUGCUGGAGAUCCCUGCUCAGCUCAGCAUCAAUCCCUGCAGCGCUGGCCUUUGCAGUGGGACUCUGGGAAUCCAAGGUGGACAGGAAGGCUCGGUACAAGGCACUAUCUCCAGAGCCCUCAGAGGACACUGGCAGCCCUUCAGCAACAUCUCAAACCCCACAGGAUCUCUGACAUCCUCUCCAGCUGGUGCAUCCCACAGCACAGGUGGGGCUGGGCACACCACACGUUUCCUCCAGCCGACCCACCCAUUUCCUAUUUUCUGCAGACAUGACAACUAGUGAGUUAAUCCUGCAGGCCAUAAACUAAGCUGUAUUAGCAGACACCAUCUGUCCUUUUUCAUUUGCUGAUGCACGACCUAUUUUGCUGUGUAGUGGAGCAGGCUCUGCUGUUUCGGGGCUCGCAGUGUCCCUGUUGCCAGGGCAUAAUCCACUGCUCACAGGGACCUGCUAGUGGGAGAAAGCUCCAGUGAACUGAGCACCACUGGGACCUGCUGCCAUGGGCAGGGGUGGAUGAAGCCUGUCCCCGUGGCUGCUUGGCCUCUGAGGAGGUUUGGGCUUCAAUCCCACCAAGCACCUGGGAAGGGAAAGGUCUCAGCAGAACUUCCAGGGACAAGAGCAUGACUGCCCUCAGCAGGGUCUUCUGGAGCCCUUUCAGCAAAGCCACAUCCACCUUCCCUCAUUUGUCAGGAGGUCAUGGAGAGACCCGAAUCCUCAUCCCAAAGUGGAUUUUAUGGGAACAGGCUCGGCACUCCAGCCACGCUGCUCUGGCCUGGGGUAAUUCCUAUGUUUUACAGAGCUGAGCAAUGUCAAUCACACCAGGACAGGAAAAGACUGGAAGAAAACUCUUCCUUUAUCCCUCUGGUCAUGUCUUGGAGCAGUGUGGUGACCCUUGUUUGGGUACAGAAGUACAGACAUUGUGAAAGGUCAUAAAACAAUCAGGAUUUUCUAACCCAGUUAUUAUUUGACUUUACCAACUCUUGAGGCAAUUCCAAAGGUUAGUGCCUUGUUGCAAGAAGCCUCCUGAAUUUACCAACUUUUAAUUUAACUCAGUGCUGGUGGCAGGAAUUUUCCCUGAGUUCUGAAACCAAAAGCCAGGAAAUUCUGUGGCUGUGUGCUGAGGAGUCAGGAGGGAGCUGAGUGCAGGGCUGGGUGCUAACACUCUCAUCUGUUCCUCAGAACCAGGAUCAUCACUGCUCACUGACUUCUGGACUCCCAAAAUCGGCCAGAGAAUUUUCAGUUUCCUGCCUCACUGCACAAAAGCGGAAGAGAGAGUGGAGGGAAUUAUUCAGACUGACCUUGGCCUUAGCCAGACCACUUCUUUCUGACUUAGCUCAGUUGCAUUAUUUGGGUUUUCCAAAGAACUCUCAAGCUCCUGGCUAGGAUGUGGCCCAGAUCCACCCCCUUCAGUACCAUCAGUGUCCUCUGAGUAUCCAGCACUGCCAGAAAGCUGGCCUGGAGUCAUUCCCCUUUCCUGCUAGUCCUGCUCUUUCUCUUAGAAACCGGCUUAAGCUCUGAACCCUGGGGUUUCCUACCCUAAAAUCCGUGGUAACUCCUACCUGCAGAGGUGUUUGACCCUCUGCUGAGCUCUGUACCUUCCAGCAGCAGCAAGCCCUGCUGUCUCCUUCCUGCCUUCCCCAAGCUUUGCCCCGAGUUCCUUUGUGCUGUGGACACUCUGAAUCAGAUGUGACCAGAAAUAAUGACAUCCCACACCAUGCCCUGGUGUUCCUGCAAGCUGUGCCCCCUGUCCUGCACUGGGGAAAGGAGAGCUGGUGUCAGGAUCUCUGUGCUAGGAACAGACUGAUAAUUUGGUGUGUAAAUCCCCACUGGUCCCAACUUUUCUUCUUUCUCUCUUUUGAGCUUUGGGAGGAGAACUGGCUCAAGAAUUGUAUUGAUCUCAGUCCAGGAACAAACAUUCCCCUUCCACAGGCCACAGCCUCUCUCUCCUGUGUGUCAUGUGAGGAAGAGGAGCAGGGAAGGGCAGUGCUUUGCCAAGACUAGAACGUACCCAAAGCUGUGACUGCUGUCAGGAGGUGGGAAGAGGAAGAAAGAGCCCAUGUGGUCAGCCCUGGAAAGGGCAGUUCCUGCUGAGAACUGCCUGGGGAACAUUCCUGCUUUCAUAACCAGCAACAGCUGUGAAAAGGGGAAAGAACAGUGAUCCUGGACCCUGCCAGCAGCACCUCUCGCCUGCAGCCAGCCUGGGAGAGCAGAGAGAGUUCCCAGCACAGCCCCCUGGCCCUGCAGCAAGGAAAACUCGUGUCAUUUUCCAGAGGGCUGAGCCAGCAUUAACCAGGUGGGGAAUGUAUGAGCCUCUCACUCCGAACAUGUGCUUGCUCAGGGUUCCCUUGUCUCAGCUGAGAUCUUUCCCCAGUCCAGGCCCCUGCCCCCAGCUCAGUCCAGGGCUGUUCCCCCUGUGCUCUGUUCAAGGUGGGCAAAGGGAGAGGGGAGCUGUAGUUUGUCUUCGUUCCUGGGCUGCCAUGGAAAGGCAAAUGGGUUUGUUCUGCUGGGUUUUGCUGCUGACCCACGCUUUCCUUCCCCCAACCCCAUGCCAUGACCACAAGCUCAUUCUCUCUAACUUCAAGCACAACCCACCUUUACCACAACCAGGAAAUUCCUCUUCUCCCUCCCUCCUCUCCCUCAGCCCUUUACCACCAUGAGAAACUCUUAUCCCUCUCUGGGGCUUGCCAUCUGUGGGAUAUCUUAACCAGUGUUUGAGCAAACUGCCCCCUGUGCUGCCUCAGGCUGGGCUGUGCACAGCACAAAAUUGAGUAGGAGGUUUCUGGGGCGAUCAGUGCUCACUGAGACCUCAAAUGCUUCUCUGAAAUCAGGCCCUGCUGUUGCUCCAGAGCAUCCUCCUCACAGGGAGGCAGCAGCCUCUCAUCUGCCCAGCCCUGCCAUCUCUGAUCCAGGCUGCCAUCCCUUUUCCCCUGAGCACCAGGAGAAGUCCAGUGCCUGACACUGAAACAGCGGUAGCUGCCAAGAGCCUCUCAGCUGCCUCCGAGUUACAGCAUCCCUCCCUGCAGUCUCUCAGGAGGAGCUGUCAGCAAAAACAGCCCUAUUUAACCAAAGCAGAGACAGCCUGGCUUUACAUGGCCUCCCUCUGCCUUUUCCUGCUCCCUUGGAAUCAGGCAUUCCUUGGGAAAAGCCUCUCAGGGCAGCGCUGACUCCUGCGCUUCCCCCUGGACGUGAACCCUGCAUGCAGGGGUUCACGUAGCUCUGGGUCCUGCUCCAGCUAUUCCCUCCCCUCUUCCAUGGAUCUCCUGCACGAUUCACAGCCCAGCACCCAGGGGUGCUCCCUAUCCCCGGAACGGUGCCCUCAGCAUGGGAUGAGCAGCGAAAUCGCAGCUGGAAAAUCUGGCAGUGGACGUGGAGCAGAGCCCUGUCCCCGGGCUCAGGACCAAGAAUGCCUCUUUCCCAUCCAACACGCCAAGGCUCCGAGCCCUGCCAAACCCCAGUGUUUGUUCCUGCCUUUGGCAAGCAAGGGAUGGCAACAAAAGCAUGUGCGAGGCAGAAGGAGUUCAGUAAAGGAGGGAAGUGGGUUUCUCUUGGGUUUCUGUGACCUUUUCUGGUUUGGAAAGAACAGAUAUGUGCAGAGAUGCUCAAAAUGCACAGCAAGGCUGUUUUCACUGCCCCAGCAGCAGAACAAACCCCGAGGCCUCCUUCAGUCACAGGAAAUUGGAGCCCAGAGCCACAGCCCAGCCUUUGGAACCAGAAAUCAGCUCCUGGGAGUCGAUGCCUUUGCCUGUUUGCAAGGAAAAUUUAUAUGCAGCCAUGGAACCUCGCUGUGGGCUCCUUGUCUUCCAGCCCUGGUUCUCUGGGAUACAGCUCCUGCUGUGGGAUGGCAACAAUAUUUCUUCAGCUGAGCCAAGUUGUCCUGGAGUCCAUGGACUGGGAGUUAUGUCAGCAAUGCCCUUGGCCAUGAGGAACCCACUGACCUUCACCUCUCUCCUUAGAGAAGCAAGCACAGAGAAGGAGCAGUUGGGGCAGGGCCAAGAGGAGGGCUGAGACUGAAGAGUCCAAUGACUCCAGAGGUUUCUCCGUGUGCUUCCAGCCCUUGUGGCUUAACCUCAGAGAGAAAAAAUGGUGCUUGGAGGAGGAAAGAAGGAGAGUGGGGUUCUGUGCAGGUAAAUCAGGAAUGUGCCUGGAUCCUCCGAGAGCUGAGUCAGGAGCAGGUUUAUAGCAAAGAUAGAAAAGCUGAUUUGGCCAAAGGAAUAAUAUUUCUGUUGAGAACCAGAGAACUAUUGAUUACUCAACUAACCUCAACUAUUUAACAAACAGCUACCUCAGCAGAAAGAAAUUUCAGCCUGGCUUUAGGGAGAGGAUUGAGGGGACUCCAGGGUGGCCAGGCAAUAGUGGGAACAUUUAUUCCCACUCUCCUUGACUCUCCUUGCUGCACUGCUGCCCUGCCUGCUCCCACUGGCACCAGAUAAGGAGAGAAAACAAACACAAGGUAGGUGCCUGUGAGUGCCCCUAACAAAGGAAGGGGAAAACGUUCACUGCAGCGGAGUCGUGGCCAAGAUAGACUGUGAAAUAGGAAGGAUUAAAAUGUCUCACAGGACCUGGCUCAGCUCCCAGGGUCUUCUCUGGACACUGGCACGAAGGCAGCUCCUCCCGAUGCUCUGGGUCUCUGCAGAGGCUCACACAUCCAUAGCACUUUUCCCAGGAGGGAGCACGAGUUCCCAGUUCUUGUAUUUCUGUGUUAUUGUGUGCCUGGCAGUGACAGCCUGUGGUGGGGGCUGAGCACACAGGUAACAGAGCAGGGCUGUGGGGACAGGGUCACAAGAAGGCACCAGGAGCAUGUCAGAGCCUCAGCUGCUGCAGCUGUGCAGAUGCCAGGCUUUGUAAUAUUCACAUGAUCAUCCCUUUUGCAGUGUAGGCAAAUAUGGGGGAAAGCAAGGAGAGCCAGCUGAGCCAUGGAGAAGGUCAAGGACUAGGAGGGGGUGACUUGGCCUUUAUGUUUGUGAGAGGUCCUGAUACCAUUCCUGCAUCGAAUUUUGAAUAACCUUGAAAGAAACCAAGUUGGAACGUGACUUUGAAGCAGUCCCACUGCUGGUCAUGCAUGACCACAACCCCGGGGAUAAAACUGCAGAACAGCAGCAUUAACUCCACCCUGCUCCCUUCCCAAACUGGCCCUGGGAGCCCAGCUCAGGCUGUGCCCAGCAAGGUCCCACUUGGAGCACUGGGGCCCAUCCCGAGCUGGCUCCUUCCCAGCACAGCUGCCCUGGGCAGAGCUGAGGGCUGGCACGGAGCAGCUGACGGGCCCUCCCCUCCCUGCCCGCCCAUGCCAGAGGCUUGGAAUGCAGCUGGCCCCGCAGCCACCUGGGUGACAGCACUGCCUGUCACCCUCCAAGCAUGGGGCUCCCACCCUUUGCUCCCAGAGAAGCCCCACAGAGCAGCACAAGCUGCUGCUGUUGGCAGUUUCCAUCCCAUAAGCAGCAGUGUGGCCACCUGGGCCACUCCCAAGCGGUCCCAGUAGACCCAGAAUCUGUGCCUUGGUGAGGAAUCACACAGCAACAGCUUCCCUAAUUAAAGCAUAUUUAUGCUUCUUGUUGCAAUUAUGCUCUCAAGCACUCCUGGCUGCAUUUCUCCACAGCCCCACUGGGUCAUGGCCCCCCAGCCCUUAAAGUGCCUCGGGAAAUGUGUUGGUUCAACAAAAUGGUCAUGACAGGAGCACUGGCCUCUCCCUGUGCUUAGAUUUCAAGCAAGGUUUCUACUUUGUGCCUCCUCCAUCUCCGCCCCCGUACUGGUUUCUGACACCCACAGGCGUUACCAACA